GUGCUUGAUUUGGCAACACAUCUACUAAAAUUAGAAGAAUACAGAGAAGAUUAGCAUGGCCCCCGUGCAAGGAUGACACACAAAUUUUAAAAAGUAUUUUAUGUGUAC
rnacentral:snRNA from 1 species